GACAGAGGGUGCAAACGUUGCUCGGAAUCACUGGGCGUAAAGGGCGCGUAGGCGGCCUUCUAAGUCGAACGUGAAAUCCCCGGGCUCAACCCGGGAACUGCGUCCGAUACUGGAAGGCUUGAAUCCGGGAGAGGGAUGUGGAAUUCCAGGUGUAGCGGUGAAAUGCGUAGAUAUCUGGAGGAACACCGGUGGCGAAGGCGACAUCCUGGACCGGUAUUGACUGCUGAGGCGCGAAAGCCAGGGGAGCAAACGGGG
rnacentral:rRNA from 1 species